GACAUAGGUGGCGAACGUUAUCCGGAUUUAUUGGGCGUAAAGGAUGCGUAGAUGGUGGAAUAAGUUAUUGGUCAAAGUCAAGCUCAACUUGGCGGAAGCUGGUAAUACUAUUCUACUCGAGGAUAGGAGAGGUUGGCGGAAUUCUGUGUGGAGCGGUGAAAUGCGUUGAUCUACAGAGGAACACCAGUGGCGAAGGCGAGUCCCUGGACGACUCCUGACACUGAGGCACGAAAGCUAGGGGAGCAAACAGG
rnacentral:rRNA from 1 species